AGGGUGAGAAUCCCGUAUGUGACCGGWGACCAACCCCAUGUGAAACUCCUUCGACGAGUCGAGUUGUUUGGGAAUGCAGCUCAAAAUGGGUGGUAAAUUUCAUCUAAAGCUAAAUACCGGCCAGAGACCGAUAGCGCACAAGUAGAGUGAUCGAAAGAUGAAAAGCACUUUGGAAAGAGAGUUAAAAAGUAUGUGAAAUUGUUGAAAGGGAAGCGCUUGCGACCAGACCUGCCCGCGGACGAUCAGCGGUGGUUCUCCCCCGUGCACUCGUUCGUGACCAGGCCAGCAUCGGUUUCGGCGGYCGGAUAAAGACCCUUGGAAUGUAKCUCCCUCCGGGGAGUGUUAUAGCCUCGGGUGCAAUACGGCCAGCUGGGACCGAGGACCGCGCUUCGGCUAKGAUGCUGGCGUAAUGGUCGUAAGCGACCCGUCUUGAAACACGGACCAAGGAGUCUAACAUCUAUGCGAGUGUUUGGGUGUCAAACCCAUGCGCGGAAUGAAAGUGAACGGAGGUGGGAACCCUCAAGGGCGCACCAUCGACCGAUCCAGAAGUUUACGGAUGGAUUUGAGUAUGAGCAUAGCUGUUGGGACCCGAAAGAUGGUGAACUAUGCCUGAAUAGGGUGAAGCCAKAKGAAACUCUGGUGGAGGCUCGCAGCGGUUCUGACGUGCAAAUCGAUCGUCAAAUUUGGGUAUAGGGGCGAAAGACUAAUCGAACCAUCUAGUAGCUGGUUCCUGCCGAAGUUUCCCUCAGGAUAGCAGUAACGUUUUCAGU
rnacentral:rRNA from 1 species